AAUCUUCCGCAAUGGACGAAAGUCUGACGGAGCAACGCCGCGUGAGUGAUGAAGGNUUNNGGCUCNUNAAACACUGUGGUUAANNNNNAACACUUGAGGUAGCAACUGGCCUUGAGAUGACGGUACUUAACCAGAAAUCCACGGCUAACUACGUGCCAGCAGCCGCGGUAAUACGUAGGUGGCAAGCGUUAUCCGGAAUUAUUGGGCGUAAAGCGCGCGUAGGCGGUAAAAUAAGUCUGAUGUGCAAGCCCCCGGCUCAACCGGGGAGGGUCAUUGGAAACUGUUUUACUUGAGUACAGAAGAGGAGAGUGGAAUUCCAUGUGUAGCGGUGAAAUGCGCAGAGAUAUGGAGGAACACCAGUGGCGAAGGCGGCUCUCUGGUCUGUUACUGACGCUGAGGUGCGAAAGCGUGGGGAUCAAACA
rnacentral:rRNA from 1 species